CCUACGGGAGGCAGCAGUGAGGAAUAUUGGUCAAUGGGCGCGAGCCUGAACCAGCCAAGUAGCGUGAAGGAUGACUGCCCUACGGGUUGUAAACUUCUUUUAUAUAGGAAUAAAGUGAGGCACGUGUGCCUUUUUGUAUGUACUUUAUGAAUAAGGAUCGGCUAACUACGUGCCAGCAGCCGCGGUAAUACGGAGGAUCCGAGCGUUAUCCGGAUUUAUUGGGUUUAAAGUGAGCGUAGAUGGGUUGUUAAGUCAGUUGUGAAAGUUUGCGGCUCAACCGUAAAAUUGCAAUUGAUACUGGCAGCCUUGAGUACAGUUGAGGCAAGCGGAAUUCGUGGUGUAGCGGUGAAAUGCUUAGAUAUCACGAAGAACACCGAUGGCGAAGGCAGCUUACUAAACUGCAACUGACGUUGAGGCUCGAAAGUGUGGGGAGCAAACAGGAUUAGAUACCCUGGUAGUC
rnacentral:rRNA from 1 species